UGUAGAGGAUGCUUCGGGUACGGCUCCGGUCUAAGUUCUUUGGAACAGGACGUCACAGAGGGUGAGAAUCCCGUACGUGACCGGCCACCACGCCCAUGUGAAGCUCCUUCGACGAGUCGAGUUGUUUGGGAAUGCAGCUCAAAAUGGGUGGUAAAUUUCAUCUAAAGCUAAAUAUUGGCCAGAGACCGAUAGCGCACAAGUAGAGUGAUCGAAAGAUGAAAAGCACUUUGGAAAGAGAGUUAAACAGUACGUGAAAUUGUUGAAAGGGAAGCGCUUGCAACCAGACUUGCCUGCGGGUGAUCAGCCGGUAUUCUUACCGGUGCACUCGCCCGUGGUCAGGCCAGCAUCGGUUUGGGCGGUUGGAUAAAGUCCCCCGGAAUGUAGCUCCUCUCGGGGAGUGUUAUAGCCGGAGGUGCAAUGCAACCUGCCCGGACCGAGGACCGCGCUUCGGCUAGGAUGCUGGCGUAAUGGUUGUAAGCGACCCGUCUUGAAACACGGACCAAGGAGUCUAACAUCUAUGCGAGUGUUUGGGUGUGAAACCCAUGCGCGUAAUGAAAGUGAACGGAGGUGGGAACCCUCAAGGGUGCACCAUCGACCGAUCCUGAUGUCUUCGGAUGGAUUUGAGUAAGAGCAUAGCUGUUGGGACCCGAAAGAUGGUGAACUAUGCCUGAAUAGGGUGAAGCCAGAGGAAACUCUGGUGGAGGCUCGCAGCGGUUCUGACGUGCAAAUCGAUCGUCAAAUUUGGGUAU
rnacentral:rRNA from 1 species